rnacentral:rRNA from 1 species
GACGAACGCUGGCGGCGUGCUUAACACAUGCAAGUCGAACGGAAAGGCCCUGCUUUUGUGGGGUGCUCAGUGGCGAACGGGUGAGUAACACGUGAGUAACCUGCCCUUGACUUUGGGAUAACUUCAGGAAACUGGGGCUAAUACCGGAUAGGAGCUCCUGCUGCAUGGUGGGGGUUGGAAAGUUUCGGCGGUUGGGGAUGGACUCGCGGCUUAUCAGCUUGUUGGUGGGGUAGUGGCUUACCAAGGCUUUGACGGGUAGCCGGCCUGAGAGGGUGACCGGCCACAUUGGGACUGAGAUACGGCCCAGACUCCUACGGGAGGCAGCAGUGGGGAAUAUUGCACAAUGGGCAGAAGCCUGAUGCAGCAACGCCGCGUGCGGGAUGACGGCCUUCGGGUUGUAAACCGCUUUCGCCUGUGACGAAGCGUGAGUGACGGUAAUGGGUAAAGAAGCACCGGCUAACUACGUG